rnacentral:lncRNA from 1 species
CGUUGUUGUUCUUGACCUGUCACCUAGAUUUCUGCCCGAUGUUUCUGUCUCUGUGGAGGUUCUUUCCGUUCUUUUCGUUGCUGUUCUUGACCUGUCACCUAGUUCUCUGCCGUAUGUUUCUGUCUCUGUGGAGGUUCUUUCCGUUCUUUCCGUUGCUGUUCUUGACCUGUCACCUAGUUCUCUGCCGUAUGUUUCUGUCUCUGUGGAGGUUCUUUCCGUUCUUUCCGUUGUUGUUCUUGACCUGUCACCUAGUUUUCUGCCCUAUGUUUCUGUCUCUGUGGAGGUUCUUUCCGUUCUUUCCGUUGCUGUUCUUGACCUGUCACCUAGUUUUCUGCCCUAUGUUUCUGUCUCUGUGGAGGUUCUUUCCGUUCUUUCCGUUGCUGUUCUUGACCUGUCACCUAGUUCUCUGCCGUAUGUUUCUGUCUCUGUGGAGGUUCUUUCCGUUCUUUCCGUUGUUGUUCUUGACCUGUCACCUAGUUCUCUGCCGUAUGUUUCUGUCUCUGUGGAGGUUCUUUCCGUUCUUUCCGUUGUUGUUUUUCAACUGUCACCUAAUUUUCUGCCCUAUGUUUCUGUCUCUGUGGAGGUUCUUUCCGUUCUUUCCGUUCUUUCUGUUGUUGUUUUUGAACUGUCACCUAAUUUUCUGCCCUAUGUUUCUGUCUCUGUGGAGGUUCUAUCCGUGCUUUCCGUUGUUGUUUUUCAACUGUCACCUAGUUCUCUGCCGUAUGUUUCUGUCUCUGUGGAGGUUCUUUCCGUUCUUUCAGUUGUUGUUUUUCAACUGUCACCUAAUUUUCUGCCCUGUGUUUCUGUCUCUGUGGAGGUUCUUUCCGUUCUUUCCGUUCUUUCCGUUCUUUCCGUUCUUUCCGUUCUUUUUGAACUGUCACCUAAUAUUCUGCCCAAUGUUUCUGUCUCUGUGGAGGUUCUUUCCGUUCUUUCCGUUCUUUCCGUUCUUUCCGUUCUUCCCGUUCUUUCCGUUCUUGCCGUUCUUUCCGUUGUUGUUUUUGAACUGUCACCUAAUUUUCUGCCCUAUGUUUCUGUGUCUGUGGAGGUUCUUUCCGUUCUUUCCGUUCUUUCCGUUCUUUCCGUUCUUUCCGUUCUUUCCGUUCUUUCCGUUGUUGUUUUUGACAUGUCACCUAAUUUUCUGCCCUAUGUUUCUGUCUCUGUGGAGGUUCUUUCCGUUCUUUCCGUUCUUUCCGUUCUUUCUGUUGUUGUUUUUGAACUGUCACCUAAUUUUCUGCCCUAUGUUUCUGUCUCUGUGGAGGUUCUUUCCGUUCUUUCCGUUCUUUCCGUUCUUUUUGUUGUUUUUGAACUGUCACCUAAUUUUCUGCCCUAUGUUUCUGUCUCUGUGGAGGUUCUUUCCGUUCUUUCCGUUCUUUCCGUUCUUUCCGUUCUUUCCGUUCUUUCCGUUCUUUCUGUUGUUGUUUUUGAACUGUCACCAAAUUUUCUGCCCAAUGUUUCUGUCUCUGUGGAGGUUUUUCCGUUCUUUCCGUUCUUUCCGUUCUUUCCGUUCUUUUUGAACUGCCUCCUAAUUUUCUGCCCUAUGUUUCUGUCUCUGUGAAGGUUCUUUCCGUUCUUUCCGUUCUUUCUGUAGUUGUUUUUGAACUGUCACCUAAUUUUCUGCCUUAUGUUUCUGUCUCUGUGGAGGUUCUUUCCGUUCUUUCCGUUCUUUCUGUUGUUGUUUUUGAACUGUCACCUAAUUUUCUGUUCUAUGUUUCUGUCUCUGUGGAGGUUCUUUCCGUUCUUUCCGUUCUUUC